UACAGAGGGGGCAAGCGUUGUUCGGAAUUACUGGGCGUAAAGGGCGCGUAGGCGGCCUGCUAAGUCGAACGUGAAAUCCCCGGGCUCAACCCGGGAACUGCGUCCGAUACUGGUAGGCUUGAAUUCGGGAGAGGGAUGCGGAAUUCCAGGUGUAGCGGUGAAAUGCGUAGAUAUCUGGAGGAACACCGGUGGCGAAGGCGGCAUCCUGGACCGACAUUGACGCUGAGGCGCGAAAGCGUGGGGAGCAAACAGG
rnacentral:rRNA from 1 species